CAUUCUCGUACUCAGGGUUUAUUCCCACCUGUUGCAGAUGACAUCUUUUAUGACGGUUUCUGCAAGACCUGUCUCCAUCCCGCUGGGGAUGAGGACUAACCGUUGGGCACGGUUCUCUAACAACCUCGUACCUGUUGCUUUUGGAAGGAUGGUGUAGACUCUGGCAAUAACCAAAAACUUGUGAACUGAGCUUUGAACAAGUGUGUGUAAUUAUUUUGCUUCCGCUACUUCGAACUUGUGUUGUAAUAACUUAAUAACUCCGAUGUGGUGCCGCUUCGACGGCAAUGAAUGACUAUGUAACAUUCGUUGUGUUUAUGUUGAACUAUUACGAUCUUGGUUUGUUGCGAGUUGGUUUGAAGUCCUUCGUGAUUUCAAUUGACUACUGGGAUUAUAUGGGCUCAAGUUUGGAAACUUGAUUGCUUGUCGAUCGUUUCUACACUUGAACUCUUAUAAUUUGGUCGGUUCUGUGACAGCAAGAAUAAAAAAAAUAAAAGAAUAUAAAAAUUAAGAAAAGAUAAAAGUAUAGAUACAAGCUAGUAGUAAGACUCAAGGUUAUCUAAGCAAACCGUCUUUCUCCCCGGCAACGGCGCCAGAAAUGCUUGUUGAUAUUUGGUAACGCAAUAAGGAAUUGAUCCGCAAGCGCAAGGAUAUCGGUGAGCACUUCACCUGGGAUGUUAUCCAGAGUAUCGUAUUUAUAUUUUUUACCACUAGGAGAAAGAGUGCAUCUAACUAACCCGGUCUAUUACUACUAACCUUUAGGCUACAAAGAAUGUUUCUCGAUGUGAAUGAUGUAUAGAGAAGACUACAACCGUAGUCUUGUUCUAACCUUGGUAAGGUUGAUCUACUGUUUUAUUGGGGAGGCUCACGGAAUCUAGACACCACAGAGGAUGUUCAACCCGCACCUAUAAACCCUAUCGAUCCUACUAACGGGAUAUAGGCUGCAAAUAUAACUCAAAAAUGUCACGUUUACGCUAGAGAUGAUUACUCUAAACUCUACACGAAGAGAUCAAAGUAAACUCAUAAACCAAAGAACAUUAAAACAAAGAACUUACUAGAAUUUAGAAGUCGAAAUACUGAAGAAUCCUAAGAGUAAGCCUCGGGUCAGAAGACUUGAUCCCGCAGGUACAACCUCGAAGUAGACACUGAUAGGCCGGGCUUCCUCCGAUCUACACCUCCACUCUAUCUCUCUAAAUCUAGUAGAUCUAGUCUACUCUCACAUUGGAUGCUAAGCCCUAAGUCUAUUUAAAGGAAAGGUUAUCCUUCGAGGGCACCUCUCAACUCUAUGAUGAACUUCUCCUCCUCCAGGGGCCAGGGGGUCUGCUUAUAUAGUCCCCUCAGGUGAACGUGGGCCGUCGGAUCAAACCGACAUUGAUUGAACGGUUAUCCUUGAUCCUUU
rnacentral:lncRNA from 1 species